GACGAACCACACAAACGUUAUUCGGAAUUACUGGGCUUAAAGGGUGCGUAGGCGGCGCGGUAAGUCGGGUGUGAAAUCUCGGAGCUUAACUCCGAAACUGCAUUCGAUACUGCCGUGCUUGAGGACUGGAGAGGAGACUGGAAUUUACGGUGUAGCGGUGAAAUGCGUAGAUAUCGUAAGGAAGACCAGUGGCGAAGGCGGGUCUCUGGACAGUUCCUGACACUGAGACACGAAGGCCAGGGGAGCAAACGGG
rnacentral:rRNA from 1 species